AGCUCCAGUAGUGUAUACUAAAGUUGUUGCAGUUAAAAAGCUCGUAGUUUGAUUUCGGAUGUUGGCCUUAGGAGUCUACACAAAUUGAUGUACGUACUCCAAAGUUGAUUCCUUUUUUCUGGAUAGUGUUUAAGUACAUACCAGAUCAUUUACUUUGAGAAAAUUAGAGUGUUCAAAGCAGGCGUAAUUUGCCUUUGAAUAUAUUAGCAUGGGAUAAUAAAAAAGGGCUUUGAGAGGUGUUCUCGUUUAGUUUUAUAACCUCUCGAGCAAUGAUAAAUAGGGAUAGUUGGGGUAAUUGGUAUUUGAUCGCAAGAGGUGAAAUUCUAAGAUUGAUCAAAGACUAACAGAUGCGAAAGCGUUUUACAAGGAUGUUUUCAUUAAUCAAGAACGAAAGUACGCA
rnacentral:rRNA from 1 species